rnacentral:rRNA from 1 species
GACGAACGCUGGCGGCGUGCUUAACACAUGCAAGUCGAACGGAGAACCUCUUCGGAGGGGAUCAGUGGCGAACGGGUGAGUAACACGUGGGCAACCGGCCCCCGGCUCUGGGAUAACUCCAAGAAAUUGGGGCUAAUACCGGAUGUUCACCGCUUCCCGCAUGGGUGGUGGUGCAAAGGGUUUCCGGCUGGGGAUGGGCGCUCGGCCUAUCAGCCUGUUUGUGGGGGAGUGGCAUACCAAGGCCAGGACGGAUAGCCGGCCUGAGAGGGUGACCGGCCACACGGGGACUGCGGCACGGCCCAGACGCCUACGGGAGGCAGCGGGGGGGAGUAUGGCGCAAUGGGCGGAAGCCUGUCGCGGCGACGCCGCGUGGGGGAUGACGGCCUUCGGGUUGUAAACCUCUGUCAGCAGGGACGAAGCGAAAGUGACGGUACCUGCAGAAGAAGCACCGGCCAACUACGUG